rnacentral:tRNA from 1 species
UCCCUGGUGGCCUAGGGGUUAAGGCUCAGAGUUUUCAUUGCUGUAGCCCAGGUUCAAUCCCUGGUCUGGAAA